GGAAGUGCACAAUAAUUCGAUUAUGAUAAAUAAUCCUGACAAUACUAAUCUGAAUGUCAUCUGAUUGUUUCGGUUUGUGCAUUGAGUAAAAAACACCUAAAAAUAAGAUUUUCCUUUAAAUUUCUCUCUUUUAAUGCUUGCCUUUGCAGAUUAAAGCUAUUCUAGACAGAAAGACAGGAAAGGAAUGAUGGACAGAAGGAGAGGGUGUGAAAAAAAACAGCUCAGUAACGUAAUUCAGUGAGAAUACAGCGUUCCUCUGCACUCAUUUGGGAGACAUUGUGCUGUCAGGGAGAUCCACCAUCUCUGAGCAACUGCAGCUGAUGAGCACGUAUCAAAUUCAGCUUCUGUGUCUUCCCUUCUCUCUCUGCCUCCUUCCUCUUCUCUCUUGAGGAAUCGUUUCGAUGUCUUCUCUGACUUGCUAAAUGAUGAUGGCUAAAUCUCCACACAGCUGCCAUGCCAGAUCCACUGCAGGACCCGGUAACGAUUGAAAAAAGCAAGAGAAACUCUGUCAGUCAUCCAGAUACACUACCACUUUCCCACGAGACACCGGUUCAGAAGAGACUGAGAUUUAGAAAGAGAAGUUUGAAGUGUUGAACUCACUUUAAUACUCAUCUUUCUCUAUGCCAAUAAAUACCUGAGAUACAUACUUCAGCAUUUACUUACAGACACACUUGCGCUGAAGCCUAAUUUGGUUUAUUGGCUUGGUAGGUGGCUCAUCUCCAAGCAUAACAUGUUUCUGCUCAGGUUGGGGAGCUGGGAAAUCGGAGAUGCAGUUCCAGCAUAAAAAGUGAGAAGUGGUCUGGCCUCCACACCCUGCCGUACCACAAAGCGUCUGUGUCCUUUACACAUUACAGUGGAAAGAAGGUCAAGAGUGACUGUGCUGAUUAAGCUGGAUCUUCUAAACAUAUUUUUAGCUAACUGCUUGAACACAUCCGGUUUACUGACACAGGCAUCUGAAGGAAACUCUAUCAUCCCCUGGAGAACUGAGAAAUCUUCCAACAUGAAAAAAGUGACUAACAUCACCCUUAAAGAAUGGAUGCAUCCCUCCCGUACUCAACCAACACCAAACAAUGACAAGUGAGCAAACACACACCAGUGCACCCAGAACCAAACACUAAAUACACACAUCCUAUACCAGAUUAAACCCUAGCAACUAAACACAUGCAUGCACACACACACGGAACUGCUGUGUUCAAGCCUCUCCUAUUACUAUUUUAAUAGGGAAUUUGAGAGUGUGUGGAGGCCCAGGGGCGAAGGCUGUCUCUGCACAUGAUCGCCCGCAACUAAUACAUCCCACAACUGCACAUGAGUGUGAUGGAGCCCCUGCCCGUAUUACUGUGGAAACAGGUGCUCUUUGCAGCCCAGCAGAUGUCCCGCAAUGCCGUUGUGGAAAUGGUCUCUCAAUAGCCAUGCACAGAAACAAUGCAUGAUGCCCUGCCAAGGUGGUCUGACUUCUGUUUAUUGUUGACGGUAUGUGUCUUUGUGUGUAUGUAUUGACAUAAACAGACUUGUAUGUUUGUGGAUGGGAAGUCCUGAGUAAUGUAAUAAAUGCAAGAUGAUCUAUGAUGCCUGCUGACA
ensembl:lncRNA